GACGAACGCUGGCGGCGUGCUUAACACAUGCAAGUCGAGCGGUAAGGCCCCUUCGGGGGUACACGAGCGGCGAACGGGUGAGUAGCACGUGAGCAAUCUGCCCUUCACACGGGGAUAACUUCGGGAAACCGGAGCUAAUACCCGAUACGACCACCUCGGGCAUCCGAUGGUGGUGGAAAGCUCCGGCGGUGAAGGAUGAGCUCGCGGCCUAUCAGCUUGUUGGUGGGGUAACGGCCCACCAAGGCAACGACGGGCAGCCGGCCUGAGAGGGUGACCGGCCACACUGGGACUGAGACACGGCCCAGACUCCUACGGGAGGCAGCAGUGGGGAAUAUUGGACAAUGGGCGAAAGCCUGAUCCAGCAACGCCGCGUGAGGGAUGACGGCCUUCGGGUUGUAAACCUCUUUCAGCAGGGACGAAGCGCAAGUGACGGUACCUGCAGAAGAAGCACCGGCCAACUACGUGCCAGCCGCCGCGGUAA
rnacentral:rRNA from 1 species